GACGAGCCUCACGAACGUUAUUCGGAAUUACUGGGCUUAAAGGGUGCGUAGGCGGCGCGGAAAGUAGGGUGUGAAAUCCCUCGGCUCAACCGAGGAACUGCGCUCUAAACUACCGUGCUCGAGGGAGAUAGAGGUAAGCGGAACUUAGGGUGGAGCGGUGAAAUGCGUUGAUAUCAGGAAGAACACCCGUGGCGAAGGCGGCUCUCUGGGACGGUACUGACGCUGAGACGCGAAAGCGUGGGGAGCGAACAGG
rnacentral:rRNA from 1 species